UCUACGGUGGCUGCAGUGGGGGAUAUUGCACAAUGGGGGGAACCCUGAUGCAGCGACGCCGCGUGGGUGGAGGAGCGUUUCGGCGCGUAAAGCCCUAUCGGCAGGGGAGAUGAUGACGGUACCUGACCAAGAAGCCCCGGCUAACUACGUGCAAGCAGCCGCGGUAAUACGGAGGAUGCGCGCGUUAUCCGGAUGUAUUGGGUUUAAAGGGUGCGUAGGCGGGGCAUUAAGUCAGCGGUAAAAUUGCGGUGCUCAACGCCGUAGAGCCGGUGAAACGGGGGAUCUUGAGUGAGGGAGAAGUAUGCGGAAUGCGUGGUGUAGCGGUGAAAUGCAUAGAUAUCACGCAGAACCCCGAUUGCGAAGGCAGCAUACCGGCGCUCAACUGACGCUGAGGCACGAAAGUGUGGGUAUCGAACAGGAUUAGAUACCCUGGUAGUC
rnacentral:rRNA from 1 species